GACAGAGGGUGCAAACGUUGCUCGGAAUCACUGGGCGUAAAGGGCGUGUAGGCGGGAAGGAAAGUCAGAUGUGAAAUCCCUGGGCUCAACCCAGGAACUGCAUUUGAAACUCCCUUUCUUGAGUACCGGAGAGGAAGGUGGAAUUCCUGGUGUAGAGGUGAAAUUCGUAGAUAUCAGGAGGAACACCAGUGGCGAAGGCGGCCUUCUGGACGGUAACUGACGCUGAGACGCGAAAGCGUGGGGAGCAAACAGG
rnacentral:rRNA from 1 species